GAUGAAGAACACAGUGAAAUGUGAUAAGUAAUGUGAAUUGCAGAAUUCAGUGAAUCAUUGAAUCUUUGAACGCAUCUCGCACCUUUUGGUGUUCCAAAAGGUACACCUGUUUGAGUGUCAUGA
rnacentral:rRNA from 1 species